ACUCCUGCGGGAGGCAGCAGUGGGGAAUAUUGCACAAUGGGCGCAAGCCUGAUGCAGCCAUGCCGCGUGUGUGAAGAAGGCCUUCGGGUUGUAAAGCACUUUCAGCGGGGAGGAAGGCGAUACGGUUAACAACCGUGUUGAUUGACGUUACCCGCAGAAGAAGCACCGGCUAACUCCGUGCCAGCAGCCGCGGUAAUACGGAGGGUGCAAGCGUUAAUCGGAGUUACUGGGCGUAAAGCGCACGCAGGCGGUCUGUCAAGUCGGAUGUGAAAUCCCCGGGCUCAACCUGGGAACUGCAUUCGAAACUGGCAGGCUUGAGUCUUGUAGAGGGGGGUAGAAUUCCAGGUGUAGCGGUGAAAUGCGUAGAGAUCUGGAGGAAUACCGGUGGCGAAGGCGGCCCCCUGGACAAAGACUGACGCUCAGGUGCGAAAGCGUGGGGAGCAAACAGGAUUAGAAACCCGAGUAGUCCCAU
rnacentral:rRNA from 1 species